rnacentral:rRNA from 1 species
GACGAACGCUGGCGGCGUGCCUAAUACAUGCAAGUCGAGCGAAUGGAUGGGAGCUUGCUCCCUGAAGUUAGCGGCGGACGGGUGAGUAACACGUGGGCAACCUGCCUGUAAGACUGGGAUAACUUCGGGAAACCGGAGCUAAUACCGGAUACAUUCUUUCUUCGCCUGAAGAAAGAUGGAAAGAUGGUUUCGGCUAUCACUUACAGAUGGGCCCGCGGCGCAUUAGCUAGUUGGUGAGGUCACGGCUCACCAAGGCAACGAUGCGUAGCCGACCUGAGAGAGUGAUCGGCCAAGCUGGGACUGAGACACGGCCCAGACUCCUACGGGGGGCAGCAGUAGGGAAUCUUCCUCAAUGGACGGAAGUCUGACGGAGCAACGCCGCGUGAGCGAAGAAGGCCUUCGGGUCGUAAAGCUCUGUUGUUAGGGAAGAACAAGUACCAGAGUAACUGCUGGUACCUUGACGGUACCUAACCAGAAAGCCACGGCUAACUACGUGCCAGCCGCCGCAGUAACAC